rnacentral:rRNA from 1 species
GACGAACGCUGGCGGCGUGCUUAACACAUGCAAGUCGAACGGAAAGGCCUGCUUUCCCUUGUGGAUUGCGGGUACUCGAGUGGCGAACGGGUGAGUAACACGUGAGUGAUCUGCCCCCAACUUGGGUAUAAGCCUGGGAAACUGGGUCUAAUUCCCGAUAGGACUGCAGGGUGGUGCCUGUGGUGGAAAACGAUUUUCUAGUGGUUGGGGAUGAGCUCGCGGCCUAUCAGCUUGUUGGUGGGGUAAUGGCCUACCAGGGCGGCGACGGGUAGCCGGCCUGAGAGGGGGGACGGCCACAUUGGGACUGGGAUACGGCCCAGACGCCUACGGGAGGCAGCAGUGGGGAAUAGUGCACAAUGGGCGGAAGCCUGAUGCAGCGACGCCGCGUGGGGGAUGACGGCCUUCGGGUGGUAAACUCCUUUCGACCGCGAGGAAGCCACCUGGUUGGAAGGGUGGUGACGGUAGUGGUAGAAGAAGCACCGGCUAACUACGUG